GUUUAAUAACGACAUAACGUGUUUAUUUUAUCGUUCCUCUGCUUGUUCUCCUUUGCGGGUUUAUUAGUAUUGGUUAUAGCGUGCGUGUGAUGAUUCGACACGAGUUCCUACGUUGUUUUCCCGCUGUGAUUUGGAAAGUGGCUGUUGUUGAGGAGAGCUAAGUCAAGGCUACGUUAUCUUGAUUCUCUCAUGAAACUGUCUAUUUUUUCUUCAUUCUACAAAUUUGGAUUCUUCAUUCUUGUGUCACACAAAAACCUCGACACAUUUAAAGUGGUUACAGUAAUAGUGUUCGACCUGUACAUGCUCCAAAGAUAUGUUUUCUGUUCUGUUUCGGUUUGUUUUUGUCUGUUUUGGUUAUGUAAGCAUUGUUCCUGUAGCUACAGCAAGAUAAUCAAUUUUUAAUUACAUAAUUACAUUAUGUUUCUGAGAUAAGAUCAAGGAGUUUGUGAGCUCUCAAAGGCCAAGGUUUUGGUUGUCACUCGCAUUCAGAUGAUAUACGCUCAUCAAAGAACAUGUUUACACAUUCAUGAUAUGCUUGUUUAUGAUUUUUUUUUCUCUCCAGAUGUCUCACAGAAGACUGCAGCAUCCUGAUACCUGCUUUUCUUGGAUUUGAUUUAGUGUAAAGGGAAAUAGCACAAAAAAAUGGAUGCCUCUGCAGCAGAAGCUUCAGCCCAGAGUGAAAGACAAGAGGACAGUGCAAUGUCCAGUCAGAGGACAGAUGGCUCAAAGCCAAAGAAAGCCUCUUUGAAAAGAAGUAAGCAGACAAAAGAAAAGAAGCAGAAAAGAGCUCGACUUUCCAAACCGGCUUACACUGUCCAUCAAGGAGAAGAUAUGCUAUUUGUUAUAUCACGUUCUACUUCACAGUAUGUUGGUUCAGUCUGGACUCGCAAGAAGAAAGGAAGCAAAAAGAAAAAGAUUGCUAAAGGAAAGUUAAAAGGAAAUAAGACUAGACCCAAAAAAAUGAUCCGUGCCAAGCCUGUAGUGGAGAAUAAACCAGAUGUCCCAAAGCAAAUAGCUACAGCAGACAGCGACCACAGUUGGGGACAACAUCUUCCUGAGGAGGUGCUCAUCAACAUUUUCCAGUUGGUGGUCCUUCAAGAUGGAGCUGUACCAUUUCUCUGCCGAGUGGGAAGAGUUUGUCGUCUGUGGAAUGCCGCUGCCUCCAGUCCCGUCCUGUGGCGCAGAGUGACUGUGGGUCACUGCUGGAUCGCACCCGGGAAGAGCCAGCUGCCGAACACAGAGAGGAAGGUGA
rnacentral:lncRNA from 1 species